UAAAAAUAGAAAAAGAAAGAGGGAAAAGGAGAUAGCAUGUCAAUGGAUGCAACAGCUGUUAAAUAAGAUGAUGGUGAAAGGCAACAGGCGUGAGGAUGGUGUGUCAGGAAAGACAGGAAGGCAACAGUGGAGAAGAACACAGACAAGGAGUGAAUGAGACAGACAUGAGGUGGGCGAUGACAUCACGAAGAGAUGAGACCAGUGAUGACAUCACAUAGAGAUGAGACCAGUGAUGAC